GAAAAUGCUCCUGUAAUCGCUUCGAAGUAUCAGGCGAACAGAAACGUCAGAAUAUAUAUAUGAAAGUGUAAUAUUAUUCGCGCACAAUGUGUGGUGUGACUAUAAUGAAUUCAAAUAACCUCAAUGCGCUUAUAACUUGUAAGGAAACAAGGAAGAAAAUAUUAAAUGAAAUAUAUUAUUGAUGAAUUUAUGUAGAGGCAUACACUAGAUACCAUUUUGUUGUAUUUAACUGUCUUCCCAGAAAUAUACAUUAAACAGAAAAACAGAGAUGAUGAAUAGAAGAUCGAUGUUAUGGAUUUUUUCACUGUUGCAAGUAUACAUACUUUGGAGAAAAAUAAUUGUUUGUGAUGGUAACAGGAUUGUCCCUGUACUUCAGAGAUAAUAAGGCAA